GACAGAGGGUGCAAACGUUGUUCGGAAUUACUGGGCGUAAAGCGAGUGUAGGCGGUCUGCUAAGUCGGGUGUGAAAGCCCUGGGCUCAACCCAGGAAGUGCACUCGAAACUGGCAGGCUAGAGUACUGGAGAGGGUAGUGGAAUUCCCGGUGUAGUGGUGAAAUGCGUAGAGAUCGGGAGGAACACCAGUGGCGAAGGCGGCUUGCUGGGCCGGACCUGACGCUGAGGCGCGAAGGCGUGGGGAGCGAACGGG
rnacentral:rRNA from 1 species